UCCGUGCCAGCAGCCGCGGUAAUACGGAGGGGGUUAGCGUUGUUCGGAAUUACUGGGCGUAAAGCGCGCGUAGGCGGACAUUUAAGUCAGAGGUGAAAUCCCAGGGCUCAACCCUGGAACUGCCUUUGAUACUGGGUGUCUUGAGUUCGAGAGAGGUGAGUGGAAUUCCGAGUGUAGAGGUGAAAUUCGUAGAUAUUCGGAGGAACACCAGUGGCGAAGGCGGCUCACUGGCUCGAUACUGACGCUGAGGUGCGAAAGUGUGGGGAGCAAACAGGAUUAGAUACCCUGGUAGUCCACACCGUAAACGAUGAAUGCCAGUCGUCGGGCAGUAUACUGUUCGGUGACACACCUAACGGAUUAAGCAUUCCGCCUGGGGAGUACGGUCGCAAGAUUAAAACUCAA
rnacentral:rRNA from 1 species